rnacentral:sRNA from 1 species
CUGUAUCUGAAUUAAGAACUGAACUCUAGCUGAAUCUGGACUUUGAAGAUUUUCUUAGCCUUAAUUAUUCAGCUAUAAGAAAACCUACUCCUCAACUAUCUGUUUUCCCCUCACAAGUAUUAAUUAACUCACCAUAGGAAUAUCUUGCUUAGAAUCCAAGUGGCACAAUAACUGUCACUGAAAUAUGCACCAUCUCUAUGGAGACUGUGAGGUUCCUGGUACUCCAACGCCUGAUUGUGUACAUGAAUCAUCCACUAAUGAAUAAUGAGAAGAUUGUUCCUCUUUUAGUAAUACAAGAAUGUAA